rnacentral:rRNA from 1 species
AGAGAGAGACAUGCGCGCAUAUCAAUAAGCGGAGGAAAAGAAACCUAACAAGGAUUCCCUUAGUAACGGCGAGUGAAGCGGGAAGAGCUCAAAUUUGAAAUCUUCAAGGUCUUACCUUGACGAAUUGUAGUUUAAAGAAGUGUUUUCUGCUGAAGUUUUGGUAAAAGUUCUUUGGAAUAGGACAUCAUAGAGGGUGAGAAUCCCGUAUUUGACCAUUAUUUUCAGCUUUGUGAUACACUUUCAAAGAGUCGGAUUGUUUGGGAAUGCAGUCCAAAAUGGGUGGUAAAUUUCAUCUAAAGCUAAAUAUUGGCGAGAGACCGGAUAGCGAACAAGUACCGUGAGGGAAAGAUGAAAGGAACUUUGAAAAGAGAGUUAAACAGUACGUGAAAUUGUCAAAAGGGAAGCGUUUGACACCAGUGUUGUUUUCUCGAAAAUCAAUUAAAAAUGGCUCGAUUUUGUAUUGCUUGAGACCUUAAAAGCUCACUGUACAUUUUUCGUGUCUUUUUUAAUGCACUUUUCGUUUAACAAGUCAACAUCAGUUUCUUUUGUUGUAAAAGGGUCAUUGGAAGGUGGCUUUCUUUUCGGAGAAAGUGUUUAUAGCCUUUGGCCUCUGCAAUCGGAGAGACUGAGGUCUGCAGCGUAGACUCUUCGGGGUUAGAUACAUUUGUGCUAAGUUAUAGCUUUUUAUAGACAACUUGUUGACUAUAAUUAGUCUUGUAGCUUACUCGCUUAUGCUAUUUUACCUACGCUUAGGAUGUUGAAGAUGUAGCACAUCAU